rnacentral:tRNA from 1 species
GGGCGAGUACCCAAGUGGCCAAAGGGGGCAGACUGUAAAUCUGCUGGCAAUGCCUUCGGGGGUUCGAAUCCCUCCUCGCCCA